rnacentral:tRNA from 1 species
GGUGAGGUGGGUGAGUGGCUGAAACCACAUGUUUGCUAAACAUGCGUACUGGGAAACUGGUACCGGGGGUUCGAAUCCCCCUCUCACCG